rnacentral:rRNA from 1 species
UACGAAGGGGGCUAGCGUUGUUCGGAAUUACUGGGCGUAAAGCGCGUGUAGGCGGGUCUUUAAGUCAGGGGUGAAAUGCCAAGGCUCAACCUUGGAACUGCCUUUGAUACUGGAGACCUUGAGUCCGGGAGAGGUGAGUGGAAUUGCGAGUGUAGAGGUGAAAUUCGUAGAUAUUCGCAAGAACACCAGUGGCGAAGGCGGCUCACUGGCCCGGAACUGACGCUGAGGCGCGAAAGCCAGGGGAGCAAACGGG